GCUGUGUGUAGAUCUAGAGAGAGAAAGUUUUCACUGUGUCUAUGAUGGAUAAAAGCUGUCAUUCAUCUGGGGAAGAAUCUUCUGCUAUAAACCCUAAUCUUGAUUCUAGUACUGGGAUCAUCAGUGGCAAAGAUCAAUACCUGAAACAUCUUCAUAAAUUGUCUCAUAAGAUUUCUAAACCUCCGAUUAGAAAACCCUUUGAAUUUGAUCAUCAGCCGCCGGUGAUUUUGGAUGAAUCUCAGCCGUCCAAUCUUCACCACCACCACCACCAGCAACAACAGCAUCAACCGCCCGUCUAUAAUGUCAGCAAGAGCGAUUUCCGAGAUGUUGUUCAGAAACUCACCGGUUCACCGGCUCACGAACGGGUCACUAAUCCGGUUCAACCCGUCAAACCACAAAGCUCUCGUCUACAACGCAUUCGUCCUCCACCGUUGGAACACGUCGGAAACCGUCCGCCUCCCAACGCCGUCGCCGGAGGUGUACUCCCUCAGAACCCUAGCUUCCGUCAAGGUCAUGUUUCCGGCAACUUCUUCAACAAUCAACGUCCACAACAGCAACAUCACCAGCCUCUUUCGCCUCUUCCGCCGUUACCAGCGGUACAUGCCACGGCGGAAUCACCGAUCUCCGCCUACAUGCGUUGCUUUCAGACCAACGGAACCUCCAUUUCUGGACCUUCUCCGCGGUGGAACAGCUUCACUCCUCCUCCACCUCCGCCUCCACCACUAAACACCACCGUACAACCGCGCUCGCCUACAGCGGCGGCGACAGAUAUUCCGGCGCCGUCGUCUCCUCUUCCGUUCGGCUGUCUACAUUCUCCAAAAUCACAGUAUCCUAUGCUAUCUCCUGGAUUUCCAUUCUCUCCGACGAACCAAUUCGGAUUCCAACAACUAACGCCGUUAUCUCCGACUCCUCCGGCGCCAAGCCCUAGAUGGAAAUCCCUCUGAAUCAAGCAAAUUCAUUCGUAGGUAACGACUUGUGGAGUUAAGCACGAACCUUCUGAUAGCUACCGGAGCUCGGAUUGAAGGAAGACAAAAAAAAAUUCCCAUGAAUACCCAUGGGUUUCAUUUCAUGGGGUUAGCAUGAUUGAAGGAAGACAAAAAAAAUUCAUGGGUCAUUGAUAAGUCUCGAUCUACAAGAUUUUUAAGCGUAAACACUAAAUUAUGCGGGUAGGGAUGGAAUUGUAGCCGUUCCAACGACAAAAGAUCAAAAUUCCUAAGAUCGCUGAUAGGUUCCAAUCUUCGGUAUUUAUUGACCUCAAACAUUAGAUUUGCACAAUCAGCAGAUUUUAUUGUAACUUAUUUUAUAGUCAUGUAUAAGAUCAAAAAUCGCCAUCAUAA